rnacentral:rRNA from 1 species
AUACGGAGGGUGCGAGCGUUAAUCGGAAUUACUGGGCGUAAAGCGCGCGUAGGCGGCUUGGUCAGUCGGAUGUGAAAGCCCCGGGCUUAACCUGGGAACUGCAUUCGAUACUGCCAGGCUAGAGUAUGGUAGAGGGAAGCGGAAUUUCCGGUGUAGCGGUGAAAUGCGUAGAUAUCGGAAGGAACACCAGUGGCGAAGGCGGCUUCCUGGACCAAUACUGACGCUGAGGUGCGAAAGCGUGGGGAGCAAACAGGAUUAGAAACCCAGUAGUCC